rnacentral:rRNA from 1 species
AUGUUCUGCACUUUGGGUGUGCCUCGUGGACAGAUGAAAGUCCCGUACGAGGCAAUGACAACCCAUGGAGAUGUUUUUAAGAUGAAGCUACUCAUGUAUCUCAUCUCAGCUAUUUUCGCGCCGACCACUUCUCUUCGGCCAAGCAACAAAUGCUUCCCCAUCCUGGCAAAACUGAAAGAUGUGAAGAACAUGAAUUGGUGUAAGUUCAUAGCCGACUUCUUGCAUGAUGCAUUCUCAAGCAAGAUGUACCAAAAGGGUUGUCGACUGCAUUUAAUGCUCAUGUAUGUCGACUGUCUUGAUCUGUCCACCGUGGAUUUCACUGGGACAGGAGGCCUGCCGCCUACGCACAAGUUUGCUGUUUCUGCAUGGACUAUCAACACUGUCAAGGCUGUGCUUGCUGCAGACAGGCUGAUGGCCAAGCAUGCUAUAGACUACAACGUGUUUGGGGGGCCUCAAAACUUUGGAAAGUGGAUGGACGUGCACUCAGCUCCGUCUUGCCCUACUGAGGCGAGGGCACCUAUUGAGCAUCUAAUUGGGCAGUUUGCAUCCAGAAUGACCGGCUUGCUUGGGAAGUUGGUUGAGGGGUGGACGUCUCUUAGUGGCUCUGACAGUGAUGCGGUUGCGAGGCAGUUCACUUCAUUUGUCCCAGAACGGACACAUCGGCCAACUGGUUGCCGUGGCCGGUAUGACUACAACAGUUACCAAGAGCUUGCUGACACACAAGAUGAACUAGAUGGAGACACUGGUCUCAGCAAGGAUGACGACGAUGACAUGGAGAACGCGGAAGAGGACACCGAUGAUGAUGAACAUGCUGAAGUUCGUGCAGGUGCUAACAAGGGGAAGGAUGCACCAGAUGCCCCCCCACCGGAGAAAGUCAAAGAACACACGGAUGCAAGAGGCGAGGGGGUGUUGCCAGCAAAGAGGGGGAGGGCUCUAGAGGAUGUUGGGCAGGGUUCUCCUGGCAAGAGGCUAGAACAACGGGCAUUCGUACAUCGGGGAGUGACGAGUCGGUAUCUGCCAGGACCGCUGAAAUAUUGCCCACUCUGCUGGCAAUGA